UACAGAGGUGGCAAGCGUUGUUCGGAAUUACUGGGCGUAAAGCGCGUGUAGGCGGCUCUUCAAGUCAGGCGUGAAAGCCCCGGGCUCAACUCGGGAACUGCGCUUGAUACUGUCGAGCUAGAGUGUGGAAGGGGCGAUUGGAAUUCCGUGUGUAGCGGUGAAAUGCGUAGAUAUCAGGAGGAAUACCGAUGGCGAAGGCAGGUCUCUGGGCCGAUACUGACGCUGAGGCACGAAAGCCAAGGGAGCAAACAGG
rnacentral:rRNA from 1 species